UCAUCUCUUCUUCUUUUCCAAAACACCACAUCAUCUCUUCUUCCUCCCCCAAACCCUUUCUAAUCUCUCUGUCAACACUCAACAGUCGUUUCUUCGCCUUCCCAAAUCGAAAAUCGUGCGAGUUUGUUCCGCUUCCACGGACUGAUGUUUACUUAAACUUGAAAUUUCACCGAGUUCGCACUCUACUCUUCAGCCGUUGACCGGUGUGCACCGUCACUACAAAUCGUCAUUGCUAUCGAGUAAUCCGUCAAGGUUACACUGAAUUCAACUGGAUACGUCGAAAUAUGUAUUUUCAUAUGGUUAAUACAUCAUAUAACGUUUGGACUAAUUCAUUUCAUGUUUACGAUGUACCCGCGCCGCAACGCGGGUGGGUGUUAACCCUAGUUAUAUAUUAUUAACCUAAAGUUGAAGAGUAAUAUUAUCUUUUACUUUUAAUAAUUAAAUAAUAUAUAUGGAAGCUAGCAAACAAUGUCUGGACGGCUUGAUGUUGACGAAAAGAAAGAAGGGUUCUCGUUGCAGGUCAGCAUCACGGAUGUCAUGUCAUCAAAUGUUACUUUCGACCCGAGUACGCCGGUUUUCAUGUUGACCCGAUUGUACCAUCCAUUCUUUUUUAUUUAUUUUUAAAGUCCACCCAUUUUUAUAAGGGUAAAUUACAUUUUUGUCUAUUAUGUUUGUAUCAGAUGAGAUGGUAAUGGAUGAUUUUUAAUUUCAAUAAUUAUAGUUAUAAUUUUUUA